rnacentral:lncRNA from 1 species
CAAGCUGCAGACUGUGCCAGAGCCUUCCGCAGCCGCACCCUGCCGUGCCUGGCAGCCCAGAGCACUCGUGCUGGGGGUGGGUGGGGUUGGGAGGAGCCCUUCUCCCGCUUUUCUGCUUCUCUAGCUCAAGCCUAGAGGACCUGGGCUGCCCUCGCUCAGGCAGGUGGCUCAUGGUGGGAACGGUUUGAUUUUCCCAAAAUAAAAGGGUGUGGGGAAAGGAAAUGCGGCUCUCCCGCUCCACCCUCUCCUCUGGGCGGGAAGCCAACAGAAGAUUUAUUUCCAGCACAGGCCCAGGCUCUCCGCAGGGUAUUUUUGGAGCGCGCGAACCUCAUUUUAGAGUUUGGGUGGCUCAUGCGCUGGGCAGAGCUGCGGGGGGCUCACGCGCUCCUCGUCGGUGGCUGCGGUCUGAAAGGCCCCAAGUCGACGAUCAAGUUUUAUCCACCCGAGCCCUCUGCUUCCUCGCGGCAGUGAAGCGGCGACUGUCCUGUGAGAGUAACUCGGAUCAGCAACAAGCCUGGAUGGCGCUGCGGCCACCGCGGCCCCGCCCGGCCAGAUGCCCCUCGGCCCUGCAGCCUCACCGGAGCCUGAGGCCUGGGGCUCAGAAGCGCCCCCGGAGCGGAGGUGUGGAACCUUCCUGCCGCAUGGCCAGGACCGUGCGCAGAUCCCGCACCGGGCCAGGUCCCGAGGAGCCGCAGCCCGGGUACGGCGGGAGCCCGGGUGCGCCUCAGGUGGGGAGAGGCGCCGCCCCCCCAAGAGCAGCUUUCCUACCGGCCGAACGCUGUGCCCGUGGUCCCGGCGGGGACAGGGAAAAGUUGCCGUGAAACAGGCCCCAAUAUUUAACGUUUACUUAUUUUUAAAUUGCAUGCCAGAGCCUCACAAGUU